rnacentral:rRNA from 1 species
UACAGAGGGGGCGAGCGUUAUUCGGAAUUAUUGGGCGUAAAGAGCUCGUAGGCGGUUCGUCGCGUCGGCUGUGAAAUCCCGAGGCUCAACCUCGGGUCUGCAGUCGAUACGGGCGGACUGGAGUUCGGCAGGGGAGACUGGAAUUCCUGGUGUAGCGGUGAAAUGCGCAGAUAUCAGGAGGAACACCGGUGGCGAAGGCGGGUCUCUGGGCCGAUACUGACGCUGAGGAGCGAAAGCGUGGGGAGCGAACAGG